CACGUAGGCGGACUCUUAAGUCGGUGGUGAAAUCCUGGAGCUCAACUCCAGAACUGCCUUCGAUACUGGGAGUCUCGAGUUCGGGAGAGGUGAGUGGAACUGCGAGUGUAGAGGUGAAAUUCGUAGAUAUUCGCAAGAACACCAGUGGCGAAGGCGGCUCACUGGCCCGAUACUGACGCUGAGGUGCGAAAGCGUGGGGAGCAAACA
rnacentral:rRNA from 1 species